rnacentral:rRNA from 1 species
CAGUCGAACGGAGAUAUUCGCUGAUGAAGUACUUCGGUAAUGAAUCUUGGAUAUCUUAGUGGCGGACGGGUGAGUAACGCGUGAGCAACCUGCCUUUCAGAGGGGGAUAACGUUUGGAAACGAACGCUAAUACCGCAUGACAUUAUCUUAUCGCAUGGUAGGAUAAUCAAAGGAGCAAUCCGCUGAAAGAUGGGCUCGCGUCCGAUUAGGUAGUUGGUGGGGUAACGGCCCACCAAGCCGACGAUCGGUAGCCGGACUGAGAGGUUGGACGGCCACAUUGGGACUGAGACACGGCCCAGACUCCUACGGGAGGCAGCAGUAAGGGAUAUUGGUCAAUGGGGGAAACCCUGAACCAGCAACGCCGCGUGAGGGAAGACGGUUUUCGGAUUGUAAACCUCUGUCCUCUGUGAAGAUGAUGACGGUAGCAGAGGAGGAAGCUCCGGCUAACUACGUGCCAGCAGCCGCGGUAAUACGUAGGGAGCGAGCGUUGUCCGGAUUUACUGGGUGUAAAGGGUGCGUAGGCGGCUUGGCAAGUCAGUAGUGAAAUCCAUGGGCUUAACCCAUGAACUGCUAUUGAAACUGUCGAGCUUGAGUGAAGUAGAGGUAGGCGGAAUUCCCGGUGUAGCGGUGAAAUGCGUAGAGAUCGGGAGGAACACCAGUGGCGAAGGCGGCCUACUGGGCUUUAACUGACGCUGAGGCACGAAAGCGUGGGUAGCAAACAGGAUUAGAUACCCUGGUAGUCCACGCUGUAAACGAUGAUUACUAGGUGUGGGUGGACUGACCCCAUC